UGGGGAAUAUUGCACAAUGGGCGCAAGCCUGAUGCAGCCAUGCCGCGUGUAUGAAGAAGGCCUUCGGGUUGUAAAGUACUUUCAGCGAGGAGGAAGGUGUUGUGGUUAAUAACCGCAGCAAUUGACGUUACUCGCAGAAGAAGCACCGGCUAACUCCGUGCCAGCAGCCGCGGUAAUACGGAGGGUGCAAGCGUUAAUCGGAAUUACUGGGCGUAAAGCGCACGCAGGCGGUCUGUCAAGUCGGAUGUGAAAUCCCCGGGCUCAACCUGGGAACUGCAUCCGAAACUGGCAGGCUAGAGUCUUGUAGAGGGGGGUAGAAUUCCAGGUGUAGCGGUGAAAUGCGUAGAGAUCUGGAGGAAUACCGGUGGCGAAGGCGGCCCCCCUGGACAAAGACUGACGCUCAGGUGCGA
rnacentral:rRNA from 1 species